GCAAUGAUAGGUUUUUUAAAUACCCACUAUUAAACUAUUUAGCAGUUUAAUUAAAUGCCAAUAAAAAUACAGAGCCUUUUUUUUUAAGACAUUCAAUUCAGUUGUCUAAGACAGUUGUAAGUUGUAUUAAAACAAGGUUUUUACUUAAUAUACAUAAUAUAUUAAGUAAAAAUUUAAGACAAUUAAGUUAUAUUAAGACAAUGUCUUAAUCAUAAUGUAUAUUUUAUUUAUUUGAAUUGAAAGUUUUUUAGUUUGUUGUGGAACUAGACUAGAAAUUACCUAAUAAGCUUCUUAUAACUUGUGUAAUGUGUUUCUUUUACGAAUUUGUAUAUUGGUAUAAUCAUAUCAUGCUAUUCCUACAAUAUUAUAACUAACACUGACUCUCAUAAGUUUGAGUCUCAAGUCACGAAAAAGGGCUAACUCUCACGUGUUGGCUAAAAGUUACCAAAAUAUGUUAAGGACUUAAUUCAGAAAUAAUGUUGCUAAACGAUUUCCAGUCGAUAGUCUUUCGAAAGCAGAAAAACUCAGUGUCAAACAAAGAAUACGCGAAUUAUUUGAGAUAUGAUUGAAAUUUGCAAAGAAAGUAAAAAUCAAACAGGUUUUAUUCUAAGUUAUUGUAUAUAAUUUUAAAAUUUUGGAAUAGAAGUGAU
rnacentral:lncRNA from 1 species